CUCCGACCGUCCUAACAAAGUCCCAUUGAGUCACCAGCUGAUUUUCCUGUGUUCAGCUCUGGGGGACAAGGGACUCUCUUUGCUGGAUGGGCAUUACUCUAGUGCACUGACCGAGCCACUCACCACUCAGGUCCGCCCCAGUUCCUUCCUGCCCUUUAUGCCAUCGGCAGACUUGGCCAGCUCUCUGUCCUAUGGCCAGUUUUGGUAGAGUCUGAAGAUUAAAAGGGACCGCAAAAAACCCCAGGCACCGCACCCGCACCUUCAGAGAAAGGUGCAGAUGGAUCGAUGAGAGUCCUAACCUGCUUCUGGAGCCGCCAUUCAUCUCCGUCCACUUUGGAACCCGGCAAGGGUCAUGCUAUCUGAUCUGGGACCCUUAGAGUCCCCACAGCCUGCAUAGGGUCGCCUUGUCUUAAGAAGACAUCAUUGCAUAUGGGUGACACACACCUGUAAUCUCAGCACUCAGGAGGCUAAGGCAAAGGGAUCGUGAGUUUGAAGCCAACUUGGGUUACACAGACUGUCUUUCCCCGGUGCUCACCAAAUAGGGCUGCCUAGGUUUCUUGGCCCUGAAGUCCCAAGGACAAAAAACUGUGGAAGUCGUGCAAAAAAACACCAGAAACUGAACUGCCCACUGCCACAGAGAAAAUGGACAUGCGUGGGACCCUUGCAGCCACACUGCCAGCAAGGGGCUUCUGCUCCAGCCAGAAUGCUUUGCCCCUGCCCUGUCCUUGGCCACUCUGACCUCAUGCUGCUGGCCCUGGGUCCUGCUUUUAACGCUGAUUGCUGGAGUGAACGAGGGCCCGGGAGGAAGAGUCUGUGGGGAAAGCUGGCAGAGCGAUGAACGUUUUACACGAGCCAGCGAGUCACUGCCUUAUCGGGAAGAUGAGCUGCUCCCUCUUACCAGGAAGUACGAUGUGCGGAGAGCCAGUGUUUUUCCAAAGAUGGCCUUUGAAGAGGAGUGUUCCUUUAAGGGCUGGGAAAGCAGGAGUGAGGCUGGUGGAGAGAAACUGGGCCCCUUUAAGAUGCCUGGCUCUGGCAGGCUUUGCAGUCUUGGAGGUAAUAAGAGUCUGGCCACCUAUAUGCACUUGCUGGGUGUCUAUAGCUGCUUUAAGCACUCAAUCUAUACCAAGCCAUAUCAUAACAAGCCUAUAUAAUAAACAUCAGUCGGGUUUUUUUGCCUUUUAUCAAAAA
rnacentral:lncRNA from 1 species